rnacentral:rRNA from 1 species
UGAACGCUAGCUACAGGCUUAACACAUGCAAGUCGAGGGGCAGCAUGGUCUUAGCUUGCUAAGGCCGAUGGCGACCGGCGCACGGGUGAGUAACGCGUAUCCAACCUGCCUUACACUCUUGGACAGCCUUCUGAAAGGGAGAUUAAUACAAGAUGUUAUCAUGAGUAAGCAUUUUCGCAUGAUUAAAGGUUUACCGGUGUAAGAUGGGGAUGCGUUCCAUUAGAUAGUAGGCGGGGUAACGGCCCACCUAGUCUUCGAUGGAUAGGGGUUCUGAGAGGAAGGUCCCCCACAUUGGAACUGAGACACGGUCCAAACUCCUACGGGAGGCAGCAGUGAGGAAUAUUGGUCAAUGGACGAGAGUCUGAACCAGCCAAGUAGCGUGAAGGAUGAAGGUUCUAUGGAUUGUAAACUUCUUUUAUACGGGAAUAAACGAAUCCACGUGUGGAUUUUUGCAUGUACCGUAUGAAUAAGGAUCGGCUAACUCCGUGCCAGCAGCCGCGGUAAUACGGAGGAUCCGAGCGUUAUCCGGAUUUAUUGGGUUUAAAGGGAGUGUAGAUGGGUUGUUAAGUCAGUUGUGAAAGUUUGCGGCUCAACCGUAAAAUUGCAAUUGAUACUGGCAGUCUUGAGUACAGUUGAGGUAGGCGGAAUUCGUGGUGUAGCGGUGAAAUGCUUAGAUAUCACGAAGAACUCCGAUUGCGAAGGCAGCUUACUAACCUGUAACUGACAUUGAUGCUCGAAAGUGUGGGUAUCAAACAGGAUUAGAUACCCUGGUAGUCCACACGGUAAACGAUGAAUACUCGCUGUAGGCGAUAUACAGUCUGCGGCCAAGCGAAAGCAUUAAGUAUUCCACCUGGGGAGUACGCCGGCAACGGUGAAACUCAAAGGAAUUGACGGGGGCCCGCACAAGCGGAGGAACAUGUGGUUUAAUUCGAUGAUACGCGAGGAACCUUACCCGGGCUUAAAUUGCAACCGAAUAUGGCGGAAACGCUAUAGCUAGCAAUAGCGGUUGUGAAGGUGCUGCAUGGUUGUCGUCAGCUCGUGCCGUGAGGUGUCGGCUUAAGUGCCAUAACGAGCGCAACCCUUGCCGAUAGUUACUAACAGGUCAUGCUGAGGACUCUGUCGGGACUGCCAUCGUAAGAUGUGAGGAAGGUGGGGAUGACGUCAAAUCAGCACGGCCCUUACGUCCGGGGCUACACACGUGUUACAAUGGGGGGUACAGAGGGCUGCUACCACGCAAGUGGAUGCCAAUCCCAAAAACCUCUCUCAGUUCGGAUUGAAGUCUGCAACCCGACUUCAUGAAGCUGGAUUCGCUAGUAAUCGCGCAUCAGCCACGGCGCGGUGAAUACGUUCCCGGGCCUUGUACACACCGCCCGUCAAGCCAUGGGAGCCGGGGGUACCUGAAGUGCGUAACCGCAAGGAGCGCCCUAGGGUAAAACUGGUGACUGGGGC